AGUAUACUGUAAACUUUUACAAUUCUCCUUUAGAAAAAAAAUAGAUUAAAAGCUUUCCAGAUUUUUUAAUUUCCAAAAAUAUUUUUCUAUUUUAAAUAAUUAAAGUCAGAAACAAUUCUGUCUAUAACCAUAGCAGAAGUAAUGACUUGUGAAAGCUAGAUGUCAUUUAUUCAGUUGGCGUUUAUUUGUUGGCUGUCAUACGGAAGGCAUCCAGGUAGAAUAGAAGUGUGGAGGAUACAAAGAUGAUAAAGACCUUGUCUUGGCUCCAAGGAAGGGGGCAUCAACAGAAGAGGUAAGACACAGAUAGGAGGGCACAGAUGCCUAGGCUGAGCUGCCCUCAUGGCAGGUGAGUUAUGUAACCUGGUGUGUUACGGGUCAGUGGCCUGGACAUGACUGGAAGCUUAUCAGAAAGGAGGCUGCAGACCUCCCCUGCCCUCCUCAAUCAGCCAUCAUUUAAACACACCCGCAGCGUUCCAUGUGGGCAUUACAGUCCAAGAAGCAUGCUGUAUGAUGCAUUUCAAUCUUAAGGUGUUUAGUGUGUUAAUGCAGCUUGAGGGGCAUAAUGAGACAAAGGUCAGAGGCUGAACUAUAUACUCAUUGGCGAUAAGAUUUUAUAUGGAUGUAUUCCAUCCCUGUAUUUCAUUCUCAUUUCUGCAGCUUCACAAUUUGCAUCUAGUCAGUUGAUCUGAAUUUAUCAAAUUUAAGGGAAUUACUCAAGCUAACACACCAAAGACUGAUGUGCAAACCUGAGUGAUCUUUGGUUUAAGUAGGGAUGUACUGACACGUUGACCAGAAAUCUGAUUUAGGCCAUGACCAUACUGUUUUAUGAAUAUUAAAUUUGGGGGGGAGAGUGAGUUUAUUUUUCAGAAGUUUCUUGAUGACCAGGGAAUCAUACACAGAAAGAGGAUAGUUUUGAAGUACUAUUUAUUCAUUACCCUGUGAGUCCAGAAAGGUCAGGAGCCAUUUCAGAUCUGUGUCUUUCAGAGUGCUUGCUUAGCACACAGUGGGUACUCAGUAUUUGUUGAAUAUAGAUCAUUUGAAUUAAUCAAAGACAGCUUGUUUUAAAGCAUAUGCUCAGGUUCGUUGGCUUUCCACUGACCAAAUCAAAGGAGGCCAAAUAUUUGGGUAAAAAGGAAAAACGAUUUAUUUAAAGCUAGCUCGGAGGAGGUGGAGGGGACUAUUUGCCUCAAAUCACCUCUCACUGUUUCCAGGUGGGCAAGGGUCUCUUAUAGUAAGGAACAGGGGAUGGGGAACACAAGAGAUAAUGUAUAUAUUUACACUUUUUACAUGUGCUUUAUCACUGCCAGCCAUGUGUAGUUUAUUGUCCCAUUCCAGUGGAAAGGAAAUGGCUCCAGCCCUCCUGGUGUUGGCAUCUACGACCCAGGAGAUGGAAAAGCUGGUUAGGCACUGGGCCUCCAAAAGCCACUUGUCUCUUUAAAAAAAAUUCCAUUUUGCAGUUCCUGGUUAUAUUACUAGCUACUUCCCAAAAUCUAUAUUUAUAGGUACAAAAAACUAGCUUUAGGGCACUCCCCCACGCACAGGUAGGCUAUGAUGUGUAUGACCCAACAAACAUUUUCUUCACACUACCAGGUAUUUACUAGCAUGUCUUUAAAAAUAACUACAAGCUAGGGCUGGGGAUUUAGCUCAGUGGUGCUGCCUGCCUCGCAAGCUCAAGGUGCCAAGUUCGAUCCCUGGUACCAAAAAAAUAAAACAAAAACAACUACAAGCUCAGGAUGAUGGCUCAGGCCUAUGUUCCCAGCAUUAUGGGAGGAUGAGACAGGAGGAUUGCAAAUUUGAGCCCAGCAAUUUAUCAAGACCCUGACUCAAAAUAAAAAAAGGGCUGGGAAUGUAGCUCAGUGCAGUGGCCCUGGGUUAAAUCCCCAGUAUCAGCAACAAAACAAAGCAAACCUGCAAAAAACUUCUUUGGUGGAAUAUACAUCUUUUAAGUAGUUCAUCUUUAAUCUUGAGAUUUAAGAUGUAAAGGAAUAAGUUUCUGGGUGUGAUGAACUUUCAUACAUGUAUUGAUAAUAUUGUAGGAAAAGUUAAAUAUAAAAACUAUUAGAGAGGCUAUCAUGGUCUAGAUAGAAAACUUUUCUGUAUGACUAAGUACAUUGAAGUUGUGCUUAUCUAUAGCAUUUUUAUGCUGUAAGAGUAUAAUUUAUUUUUUUCCUCAAGGCCUCAUGCAUGCUAGGCAAGUGUUCUGCCACUGGGCUACGUGCACAGCCCCUUUUAAAUUUUUCUUCAAUUUUGAGACAGGGCUUUGCCAAGUUACCCAGGCUGGCCUUGAAUUUUAGAUCCUCUUGCCUCAGCUUUCCCAGAAGCUGGGGCUAUAGGAGCACACACAGCUCUCCCCGAGUUAGAUCAACAUUAACAUCUAUUUAGAGACUAAACGAAGAAGAGAACUAACUCGCUGAAAAUUAAUUUACUUUUUCUAGUUCACCACUUGUAAAUAUUUGGAGAAAAACGAGACUGAAAUUCAUCUGUCUACUAAUUUAACUGAAUACUACUAAUUUAGAAUUUGGACACUGCCUUUUUUUUUUUCUUCUUGUCCUGGUACUGGGAAUUGAACCUAGGACCUUCACAUUAAGCUACAUCUCCAGCCCUUUUUAAAUAUGUAAAGACAACUUAAUAUUUAAGUUGCCCAGGCUGAGCUUGAACUUGCAAUCCCCCUGCUUCAGUCUCCCAGAGUGCUGUGAUUACAUGUAUGGACUGCCUUGCCCCAGCUUGGCCUCUGCUUUUUUCAGGUUUUACUUAAACGUGUCACUUGAUUUCUCUGAACUUCAGUUCAAAGAAUUUUCAGACAAGAUGCUAAGGAGAUGCUGAUAUAGUGAUAUUAUAGUACUGUGAUAUUUGCAGUUAUACAAUAAAUGGCAGUUUGGAAGCCACCGGAUUUAUACAGACACCCUUCACGUUAUAGGCCCCUUUCAUUCUUUCUCAUAGUGUUAUGACUUGUGUCUUGAUGUCCUCCCAAAGCCUCAUGCAGUGGUGGGUGAAUUGAUUUCUAGAAUUGAUUCUUGGUGCAAUGCUAGGCCCCAGGGCACUAGGAUUGAGGGUAUGAGUGCUACCCACCCCAAAUAAUCUGCAUAAAAGGGGCAGAAAGAUGCUGUUGGGGGCCCCUCCUCUUUUCCCAUGUUGCCUUUGCUACCUUGUGGGUGCCAAGAACUGUUUCUCCUCUGUGGUGCACCUCUGCCAUGUGCCACUCUGCCUUAGAGCCAGCGAUUAUGGACUGAAACCUCUACAAACUGUGAGCUACAUAAACCCUUUCCCCUUUAACUGUGGGUGUGAGGUAUUUUGUCUCAACAAGCAGAGAAAUGUAGCUAACACACAUAGUUAUUUGGUUUUUUCCCCCAUCUCUCCAUGUUGUAAUUUAUUAUUACCAGCAUGUGUGUUGUUCUUCUGUCCUCUUCUGUUCCAAGAGGAUAGGGGUCAUGUUUUUCUUUGCUAUUAUAGACCUGUGUGAAUAAUGAUGGUAAUCCUGUGUAUGUUGAAUUUAGGUGUGUAGGGGACAUUUGGGUUGAGCUAUAAAAUACUGCAGGUACCAGUGUGUGCCUGGCACCUGAGUAUCUAUUAAAUGAAAAAUGUGAAAGGUCUAUGCGGGAUUGUUUAUGCACCCCUCUGUCGGCAGUCAUGAUCAUGGCAGCGGUUGAGAAUGCCCAGAGAAAAUGAGUAGAAGGAAAAAAAACUUUGAGUGGAAAGAGAAGGGGCUUAGAUCAGCAAUUUGGGUAAAAAUCUGUAACUAAUUGCAGGAAAAGAAGCAUAUAAAAAAAAAAGGAAGCAUAUGAAUGAGAUUGAAAAUACAAGUACAGAAUCGUGGGAAAACAAGAAAGUAAUGUCAUAAAAGCUGAGACUAGAAGAAAAUUUCAUAAAGAAAAUAUUCAAAAGUGUUGGAAAAGAAAAAAAUAAACCAAUAGUGAAAUACAUAAAGAACUUACUAUAAAUUAGAUCCUGGGGCCUAAAUGUUUUUCAUUUAUUAUGUUAUUUAAUCCUUAUAACAAACCAGCAAGGCAGGUAGAUACCUCUACUGUUGCCUUUCCACAAGUGAGGAGAUGGAGCCUUAGGUAAAGCAGACUUGCAGUUUCAGCUCCAACAGUGGAAGCUCCAUGAAGCCAGAGACUUUGUUUCAUUUACUACCAAAUUCCUGGAAUUUAGAAAAUGUGUAGGAUAUAGUAAUCACUCUGCAAAUACUGUUGAAUGAAUGGAUGAACCAAGAGUGACACAGUGAAUAAAGAAAUGUGAUGUCACCCUG